ACGAACGCUGGCGGCGUGCCUAAUACAUGCAAGUCGAGCGGACGAUUCGAAAGCUUGCUUUUGACUCGUUAGCGGCGGACGGGUGAGUAACACGUGGGCAACCUGCCCUGUAGACGGGGAUAACACCGAGAAAUCGGUGCUAAUACCGGAUAACACGAAAUGUCGCAUGACGUUUCGUUGAAAGGCGGCGCAAGCUGCCGCUACAGGAUGGGCCCGCGGCGCAUUAGCUAGUUGGUGAGGUAACGGCUCACCAAGGCGACGAUGCGUAGCCGACCUGAGAGGGUGAUCGGCCACACUGGGACUGAGACACGGCCCAGACUCCUACGGGAGGCAGCAGUAGGGAAUCUUCCGCAAUGGACGAAAGUCUGACGGAGCAACGCCGCGUGAGCGAAGAAGGCCUUCGGGUCGUAAAGCUCUGUUGUUAGGGAAGAACAAGUAACGUAGUAACUGACGUUACUAUGACGGUACCUAACGAGAAAGCCACGGCUAACUACGUG
rnacentral:rRNA from 1 species